AUGGCCAAAUCAUGUUGAAAUACCAAUUCCUGUACGAUCACUGAAGUUGAGCAAUGUCAAGCCUGGUCAGUACCUAGAUCGGUGACUGCUUGGGAAUACCAGGUACUGUAAG